rnacentral:lncRNA from 1 species
GUGCCCUAGCGUGUUGUCUUGGAAAUGGUUGUGUUUCCUAGAAGAACACAUGUGAGUAGGCAUGGUCAUGUUGGAUUGUUCUCACAAUGGUAAUCUGACAGAGGUUAGGGCGAAAUCCCACAUGAGGAUGUAUGUUGGUGUUGCUUUACUUCUUGGAGGUUGUCGAUAGUGAUACCCGAUUAUGAUAUUUGUAGACAUAGGGUUUGUAUGGUGCCAAGGUAUUUAUGAGGUUUCAACAAACAUAAAUCAAAGAUAUUUUUAUAUAGGUUUAGACCCUCUGAUGACGAGUAAUAACGUUACUACUGUUUAUGUAGUUUAUAUGUAUUUGGGGAGGACCACACCGAGUACAAGGUGGGAGACUGAACUUAGUGGCUAGCAAUGAGGUGGCUCCUUUGAUCUUGACUCAACGGGGUUUAUAGUCCAGUUAUAAAUAUGACAUACCCUAUAAUACCGCACUAACCUAUAUAUAGGAAUACAACAUACCCUGUUAACUACAAACGAGUAUCAUCACACUCUGAAAUGGAUACGAUAAGAAAUGAGAGUUGUAUUCGGAUAUGACGGGCAAUCUAGUCCAAUCCGAGUACAUAUAUGCUUACGUAGUGUACUUCGCAAGGCUUUCCCUAAACCCUGUUUAGAAAGGAGGGGAGAUUCUACUGUAUAAAUACAAGUACCUUGUGAGAGAGGAGGGAAUCAAGUUGUAAGGCAUACACAAGCCACGCGAGAUCAAGAGUUCAAAAGCAACUUUAUUAGUACCCACCUAAUCCAAUCUUGAUGACAUCUAGCUAUAGGAUAGUAUAGCCAAGUAGAUAGGUCCCAUUCUUGUAAUAG